AUCUCUUACCCAUGUCUUUUGAGUACUUACGUUUCCUCGGUGGGUUCGCCCGCCGAUUGGACAAUUUAAACCCUUUGCAGUUGCAAUCAGCGUCUGAAAAACAUAAUAGUUACAACUUUCAACAACGGAUCUCUUGGUUCUGGCAUCGAUGAAGAACGCAGCGAAAUGCGAUAAGUAGUGUGAAUUGCAGAAUUCAGUGAAUCAUCGAAUCUUUGAACGCACAUUGCGCCCCUUGGUAUUCCAUGGGGCAUGCCUGUUCGAGCGUCAUUUGUACCUUCAAGCUUUGCUUGGUGUUGGGUGUUUGUCUCGCCUCUGCGUGUAGACUCGCCUUAAAACAAUUGGCAGCCGGCGUAUUGAUUUCGGAGCGCAGUACAUCUCGCGCUUUGCACUCAUAACGACGACGUCCAAAAGUACAUUUUUACACUCUUGACCUCGGAUCAGGUAGGGAUACCCGCUGAACUUAAGCAUAUCAAUAAGGCCGGAGGAA
rnacentral:rRNA from 1 species